rnacentral:rRNA from 1 species
GAUGAACGCUGGCGGCGUGCCUAAUACAUGCAAGUCGAGCGAACGGACGAGAAGCUUGCUUCUCUGAUGUUAGCGGCGGACGGGUGAGUAACACGUGGAUAACCUACCUAUAAGACUGGGAUAACUUCGGGAAACCGGAGCUAAUACCGGAUAAUAUUUUGAACCGCAUGGUUCAAAAGUGAAAGACGGUCUUGCUGUCACUUAUAGAUGGAUCCGCGCUGCAUUAGCUAGUUGGUAAGGUAACGGCUUACCAAGGCAACGAUGCAUAGCCGACCUGAGAGGGUGAUCGGCCACACUGGAACUGAGACACGGUCCAGACUCCUACGGGAGGCAGCAGUAGGGAAUCUUCCGCAAUGGGCGAAAGCCUGACGGAGCAACGCCGCGUGAGUGAUGAAGGUCUUCGGAUCGUAAAACUCUGUUAUUAGGGAAGAACAUAUGUGUAAGUAACUGUGCACAUCUUGACGGUACCUAAUCAGAAAGCCACGGCUAACUACGUGCCAGCAGCCGCGGUAAUACGUAGAUGGCAAGCGUUAUCCGGAAUUAUUGGGCGUAAAGCGCGCGUAGGCGGUUUUUUAAGUCUGAUGUGAAAGCCCACGGCUCAACCGUGGAGGGUCAUUGGAAACUGGAAAACUUGAGUGCAGAAGAGGAAAGUGGAAUUCCAUGUGUAGCGGUGAAAUGCGCAGAGAUAUGGAGGAACACCAGUGGCGAAGGCGACUUUCUGGUCUGUAACUGGCGCUGAUGUGCGAAAGCGUGGGGAUCAAACAGGAUUAGAUACCCUGGUAGUCCACGCCGUAAACGAUGAGUGCUAAGUGUUAGGGGGUUUCCGCCCCUUAGUGCUGCAGCUAACGCAUUAAGCACUCCGCCUGGGGAGUACGACCGCAAGGUUGAAACUCAAAGGAAUUGACGGGGACCCGCACAAGCGGUGGAGCAUGUGGUUUAAUUCGAAGCAACGCGAAGAACCUUACCAAAUCUUGACAUCCUUUGACAACUCUAGAGAUAGAGCCUUCCCCUUCGGGGGACAAAGUGACAGGUGGUGCAUGGUUGUCGUCAGCUCGUGUCGUGAGAUGUUGGGUUAAGUCCCGCAACGAGCGCAACCCUUAAGCUUAGUUGCCAUCAUUAAGUUGGGCACUCUAAGUUGACUGCCGGUGACAAACCGGAGGAAGGUGGGGAUGACGUCAAAUCAUCAUGCCCCUUAUGAUUUGGGCUACACACGUGCUACAAUGGACAAUACAAAGGGCAGCGAAACCGCGAGGUCAAGCAAAUCCCAUAAAGUUGUUCUCAGUUCGGAUUGUAGUCUGCAACUCGACUACAUGAAGCUGGAAUCGCUAGUAAUCGUAGAUCAGCAUGCUACGGUGAAUACGUUCCCGGGUCU